GGGGUAAAUUCCAAGCACAGCCUGAAUGAGAAGUACAACUCAUUUCCUGUAACCUAGAUGCCUUUUUAACACAUCUAUGCAGUCUCCAUGUGAAACCAGGUGCUGUUCCCAAAGGAGAAAACACUGCCCUCCAGUGGUCUUCAAUGAAGAAAUGGAAAUAGUUUCAGGUGGAAACCAGGCUUCUUGGAAGACUUCAAACUAUGCCAAAUGGUCUGAUUUCACCAUAGAGAAAUCUAAGCUGAGACAACUUAAAACUCAAAUGAGAUGCAUGAAAGCACUUGUCAUCCUGACACCAUAUUGAGAAACAUGAUCAGAUUCUUUGCUGAAGAAUGCAGCUGUAUUAAAGGAAGAAAGAAAACCAAGCUACAGCUCCUUAUAAUUCAACAAGCAUUUAAAAGAUUUAUAAAGAUGGUGCAAUUAUGUAUUUAAGCUGCUUCAACACAAGUUCUUGCCUUUCACUCCCACCCUGUGGCUUACACUGGUAUUACAUCUAUUCUGACAUUUAAAAAUCAACAUUAAAGAACAUAUUGUAAUAAUG
ensembl:lncRNA PSMD14-DT PSMD14 divergent transcript